UGGGGAAUCUUGCACAAUGGGGGAAACCCCGAUGCAGCGACGCCGCGUGAACGAUGAAGCCCUUCGGGGUGUAAAGUUCUUUCGACAGGAACGAUAAUGACGGUACCUGGAGAAGAAGCUGCGGCUAACUACGUGCCAGCAGCCGCGGUAAUACGUAGGCAGCGAGCGUUGUUCGGAGUUACUGGGCGUAAAGAGUGCGUAGGCGGCGAGCCAAGUUUGGUGUGAAAUCUCCCGGCUUAACCGGGAGGGUGCGCCGAAAACUGGUUGGCUGGAGUAUGGGAGAGGAAAGCGGAAUUCCUGGUGUAGCGGUGAAAUGCGUAGAUAUCAGGAGGAACACCUGCGGUGUAGACAGCUUUCUGGACCAAAACUGACGCUGAGGCACGAAAUCGUGGGUAGCAAACA
rnacentral:rRNA from 1 species